GUCUACGGCCAUGCUACCCUAAACAAGCUCAAUCUCGUCUGAUCUCGGAAGCUAAGCAGAGUUGGGCCUGGUUAGUACUUGGAUGGGAGAUCACCUAGGAAGACCAGGUGCUGUAAGUG
rnacentral:rRNA from 1 species